rnacentral:rRNA from 1 species
GGCAGACGAGCUAGUAACACCUUGGUUAUCUACCCCAAAGUCAGGAAUAAGCCACCGAAAGGUGGUCUAAUACCCGAUAAUCCCGAAAGGGUAAAGACUUUGUCGCUUUGGGAGGAGCCUAGGCCCGAUCAGCUUGUUGGUGUGGUAAAAGCGCACCAAGGCUACGACCGGUAGGGGAGGUGAGAGCCUGACCCCCAGCGAGGGCACUGAGACACGGGCCCUACUCCUACGGGAGGCCGCAGUCGAGAAUAUUCGGCAAUGGACGAAAGUCUGACCGAGCGACGCCGCGUGCAGGAAGAAGGUCUACGGAUUGUAAACUGCUUUUUCCGCUGAUAAAGCCGAGCACUCAAUGUGCGUUAACAUUGUAGUGCGUAUUGAGUGUUCGGUUGAUAGUAGGCGGAGAAUAAGGGGUGGCUAACUUCGUGCCAGCAGCAGCGGUAAUACGAAGACCCCGAGUGUUAUCCGGAUUUAUUGGGCGUAAAGCGUACGUAGGAGGCUUGGUGCGUCUCGUGUUAAAUCUCACCGCCCAACGGUGAGCCUGCGCGAGAUACGGCCGAGCUAGAGGAUGUGAGAGGUCUGUGGAACGCACGGUGUAGGGGUGAUAUCCGUUGAUAUCGUGCGGAACACCAAAGGCGAAGGCAGCAGACUGGCGCAUUCCUGACUCUGAGGUACGAAAGCGUGGGGAGCGAACGGGAUUAGAUACCCCGGUAGUCCACGCCGUAAACGAUGGU